rnacentral:rRNA from 1 species
AAUCAACGCUGGCGGCGUGCCUCAGACAUGCAAGUCGAACGAUUAAACUUUCCUUCGGGAAAGAUAUAAAGUGGCGCACGGGUGAGUAACACGUAAGUAAUCUACCUUCGAGUGGGGAAUAACGUCCGGAAACGGACGCUAAUACCGCAUAAUGCAGCGGCACCUUAUGGUGACAGUUGUUAAAGGAGCAAUUCGCUUGAAGAGGAGCUUGCGGCAGAUUAGCUAGUUGGAAGGUAACGGCUUACCAAGGCUACGAUCUGUAACCGGUCUAAGAGGACGGUCGGUCACACUGACACUGAAUAACGGGUCAGACUCCUACGGGAGGCAGCAGUCGGGAAUUUUGGGCAAUGGGCGAAAGCCUGACCCAGCAACGCCGCGUGAAGGAUGAAGUAUUUCGGUAACGUAAACUUACGAAAGAAUGGGAAGAAUCAAUGACGGUACCUAUUUAUAAGGUCCGGCUAACUACGUGCCAGCAGCCGCCGUAAG